AUUGAACGCUGGCGGCAUGCUUUACACAUGCAAGUCGAACGGCAGCGGGGUAGUGCUUGCACUACUGCCCGGCGAGUGGCGAACGGGUGAGUAAUAUAUCGGAACGUACCGAGUAAUGGGGGAUAACCAAUCGAAAGAUUGGCUAAUACCGCAUACGUCCUACGGGAGAAAGCGGGGGAUCGCAAGACCUCGCGUUAUUCGAGCGGCCGAUAACUGAUUAGCUAGUUGGUGGGGUAAAGGCCUACCAAGGCGACGAUCAGUAGCGGGUCUGAGAGGACGAUCCGCCACACUGGGACUGAGACACGGCCCAGACUCCUACGGGAGGCAGCAGUGGGGAAUUUUGGACAAUGGGGGCAACCCUGAUCCAGCCAUGCCGCGUGUAUGAAGAAGGCCUUCGGGUUGUAAAGUACUUUUGUUAGGGAAGAAAAGGGAAGUGCUAAUACCACUUUUUGCUGACGGUACCUAAAGAAUAAGCACCGGCUAACUACGUGCCAGCAGCCGCGGUAAUACGUAGGGUGCGAGCGUUAAUCGGAAUUACUGGGCGUAAAGCGAGCGCAGACGGUUAUUUAAGCAGGAUGUGAAAUCCCCGGGCUUAACCUGGGAACUGCGUUCUGAACUGGAUAGCUAGAGUGUGUCAGAGGGGGGUAGAAUUCCACGUGUAGCAGUGAAAUGCGUAGAGAUGUGGAGGAAUACCGAUGGCGAAGGCAGCCCCCUGGGAUAACACUGACGUUCAUGCUCGAAAGCGUGGGUAGCAAACAGG
rnacentral:rRNA from 1 species